ensembl:lncRNA
CCAUUCAUUGUUUUCUCCUGAGUUUGUUUCUUCAUCUUCCCUAUCACCAUGAUGAUCUUUAUGGUCAGGUCCUUUUUGGUUAUUGUUUACUCAUCUUUCUAGCCUAUUUCUCAACUUUGAACUUUCUGUUAAAGUUUGGCUCUACUAUGGGCAGAAGGUGUGUAGUUAAUCAGAGCAUGGAAGCACUAUCUCAAGCCUCAGGUUUUUCCUCACUACUGUUUUCAGAGCUAGUUCUGAAGAUCUACAAGUUUUUGGUUUUCCAAGGCAGUGUGAUCUGGGAAGAGGUGAUGAGGUACACCUAUAAUUAUGAGAAAUCAUGAACAAGGACUUAGAAAAAGCUGUCAAACUUGAAAAGCUAGGACAUCCCCAACCACCACUCACUGGUAGUUUUGAUUUAGAACAGAACUGUCUCCUAUUGUCAUGUCUUCAUCGAGAGGGACUUGGAGACCCAGAGGAACUGCUAGAGCUGGAACUUCAGGAGGUGCUAGAGCUUCCUGAACAGCUUGAUGUGGAAGAAGAGCUGGACCCACUGCUAAAGCCAGCACUGGUACUAGAACCAAAGCUAGAGGUGGAAUUGAAUCGAGACCUGGAAGUACUGCUACCACUGGAGGCACUGUAUCUCUUACGUGCUUUGUCUCUACCACAGUCCUUUUCGCUUAACUCUUUGGUGGCCCCAUUAUCUUUAGACUGGCCCUUUGACUUCUCAUCAGUUCUAUCUUUACAUUUGGUGAGAGGGAGCCAUCUUCCCAGGUUCUCUGCUUCUGCCACCCAUUCCUUCUCCACACUCUCUGGAGACCAAAGAUAACAAUAGAAGAUGGGUCACCAGAUUGUUAAUUUUAUGGUUGUACUGAAUAUUUAAUUGGUCUCCAGGGAUUUAAUUUGUAAAUCCCAAAAAUGAAUUACUAAACUAAAAUGGAAUUCAUGGCGGUUUAUUUUACAAUAGAGGGAAGAUAUUAAGGAAGAGAGAGAGAGUGUGCGCUCUGGCUUCUCUGAGACAGGUAGAAAUUCUAAAGCCCCAGCCAGGAGAAAGUAGCCACAAGAUGAUGGGCCUUUCUCAGAGCCUCAUGCCUCCAGAAAGGGCAAGGAAGGAAGUCAGCCUUUACACUCACCACAUUGUCAGUGCAAUCAGCAUAUUCUUUUAUCAACCUCAACUCCAGCAGACUCUACUCCAAGUGUGUCUCUUUCAAACUCCAAGUGUCCCUCUUCAGUCCAAGUGUCUCUGGGUGUGUCUCGGUUUCCACUUUUAAAGACCUUUUUCUCUUUUGUCACUUCCCCUAAAUUUUUACAUCUACCAAUCACAGCUGAUCCUCCACUCCAGGAUUGCCCACUCUUUUGCACAUGGGUCACAGACCUCCCACUCAAUGUAUGAAAUGGGUGUUCACACCAUUUUUGUGGUUAAAAUUAAAAAAUGGGUAGAUCUCUAUACUCAACUUUAAAUACUGUGCUUACAUUUUGGGGGCUAUAAAUCUAAAAAUAGACAGGGGAUUAUAAUUUAAUCUUCAUACUCAAGGAAGAGCUAAGUGCCUUCAUUGUUAUAAUCAGGAGAGAGCCAAAUCCAAUCUUCACAAUAUGAAUAUAACAAAGUAUUAUGGUGCCAUUUGAAAUUAUGAAAGGAAUUAAUUCAUAAUAACCUUGAAGGACUGGCAUGAAAUGAUACAGAAUGAAGUAAACAGAACCAGAAAAAAACAAUUUUAUAUAACAACCACAGCAUGGUAAAGA